rnacentral:lncRNA from 1 species
UACAUACGCAAUCAACUUAUCCUAGAAGUGCACAUACUUAUUUUAAUUAGUAAAAACUUUUGAAAAACCUAAUUCACCCUCCCUCUUGGAUUGUAUCUUUAGACAAUAAGUGGUAUGAGAGCGAAAACUCUUUUUCACUUGUUUGUCUUAUGAUUUAGAUGAUAAGAUCAAGAUAACAAUCUAAUUAAAUAUCUCUUUUAUUGAAGGACAAUCCACUAACCAAUCUCCUUUGUUUUAUGUUUCAAACUAUAC